GGUCCCGUAGCUCAACUGGCCAGAGCAACCGCCUGUCGCGCGGAAGGUCACCGGUUCGAAUCCGGUCGGGACCG
rnacentral:tRNA from 1 species